CCUGCGAGCAUGCUCCGUUUUUGUGGCCACAGACCGUGACGCUAUGCUUGACCGGCGAAACCGGGUUCUUGAGCUUCUGCAGGUCUGGCCUACCACUUUGUGGGCAACUGUGUGUCAUCGUUCAGUGCCUUUGUCAAGCGCCACCGUGAUGUCAAUGGCCCGCCGUCUUCCUUUCUUCCUUCUGGGCCUUCCAGCCACUGGCUGGGGACGGGGGCAUGAGUGCCAGUGAGCGCAUUCACCAGGAAAUGUGAUCGGUGCGGCUUGGUGGGUGUCCAACUCGACUGAAAGGACAUUUCAUUCGCCGGUCACCGUGGUUCACGCC